rnacentral:rRNA from 2 species
GGCCUACACAUGCAAGUCGAGCGGAUGAGAAGAGCUUGCUCUUCAAUUCAGCGGCGGACGGGCGAGUGAUGCCUAAGAGUCUGCCUGGUUGUGGGGGACAACGUUUCAAAAGGAACGCUAAUACCGUAUACGUCCUACCGGAGAACGGAGGGGACCUUCGGACCUUGCGCUAUCCGAUGAUCCUAUAUCGAAUUACCUAAUUGGCGAGGUAAUGGCUCACCGGCGCCACGAUCCGAAACUGGCCUGAUAGGAUGAUCAGACACACUGGAACUGAGACACUGACCCUACUCCUACGGUAGGAAGCAAUGGGGAAUAUUGGACAAUGGGCCAAAGCCUGAUCCAGCCAUGCCGCCUGUGCGAAGAAGGGCUUCGGAUUGUAGAGUUCUUUAAGUUGGGAGGAAGGGAAGAAAGGUAAUACCUUGUUGUUUUGACGUUACCGACAUAAUAAGCACCGAAUAACUCUGUGCCAGCAACCUAGGUAAUACAGAGGGUGCAAGCGUUAAUCGGAAUUACUGGAUCUAAAGCUCUCGUACGUGGUUCGUUAACUUGGAUGUUAAUACCCCGGACUCAACCUGGGAACUGCAUCCAAAACUGGCGAGCUAGAGUAUGGGAGACUUGUGGUGGAAUUUCCUGUGUAGCGUUGAAAUGCGUAGAUAUAUAGAAGGAACACCAGAUGGCGAAGGCGACCACCUGGACUGAUACUGACACUGAUGUGCUAAGCGUGAGGGAGCAAACAGAUUAGAUACCCUGGUAUUCCACGCCGUACACGACACAACUAACCGUUGGAAUGCUUGAGAUUUU